rnacentral:rRNA from 1 species
UACGUAGGGUGCAAGCGUUGUCCGGAAUUAUUGGGCGUAAAGAGCUCGUAGGCGGUUUGUCGCGUCUGCUGUGAAAACCCGAGGCUCAACCUCGGGCCUGCAGUGGGUACGGGCAGACUAGAGUGCGGUAGGGGAGAUUGGAAUUCCUGGUGUAGCGGUGGAAUGCGCAGAUAUCAGGAGGAACACCGAUGGCGAAGGCAGGUCUCUGGGCCGCAACUGACGCUGAGGCGCGAAAGCUAGGGGAGCAAACGGG